GUCAUGUAGCACCGCCCACUCCUGUCUAUUGAAACUGAUGUCAGAGUAGCCACGGGCUUGCCUUGUAAGCAUCGCGUGGCCAAACCCAGAAAACAGGUUGAACCGUGACAUUAGGAAAUUAAGCCCGUGGGCACUUUGAUGUUAAUUUUCAAUCACCAGUAGGGGGUGGUGCCACCUUGGAUGGCAAUAAAAACCCAGGGGAUUAUGAUGCUUUGUCCUUAUUCCAAAAACGCAAUCUCAGAAAUACUGUCUUGAAGGUAAUGGGGGCACCCGGAUCAUCUUGUUGCAAAUAUAAUAUUUGACUCGAAUUCUGCUCUAAGCUUGAAUGAGAAAUGCUUCUUCAGCUUCAACUAACGAAUUCCUUUCACUGCUUUAAAGAUAAAAACCUGAUGUCACUGAGCGGGAAAAUUCUCAUGACCUGUGACCUGGCGAGGCGUUACGGGAUCCGAGAUGUCGACGGGCGGUGUGUGGACGACUUUACCUCCCUUAAGUUCCUGCUGACACAAGUUCCGUAUGUCUCCUGGCUCUCAUCUUUUGUCCCGUCUUUUAUAAGACUGCCCCGCUUUCUGCUCCCCUUGACAAGCAACCAUUUCUAACCAUAAGCUAGCGAGGCGUUGAAAACCUAUUUGUGACUAUUUUUGAAUCCAAUCACGACAAGUGUUUAUUGAAAUGAAAGACUCCGGGAAUUUUGAAU